UUAACUGAAAUUUGUAUGGAGUUGGAACGUUUGCCUACGUUUGCCGCUAGAGGCGGUGUACCAAAGACAUACAAAUUUGAGUGA
rfam:Bombyx mori DNA, contig: Bm_scaf3_contig3349, strain: p50T/Dazao, build 2, whole genome shotgun sequence.